rnacentral:tRNA from 1 species
CAGGGUAUAGCUUAAAAAAGCACUUCAUUUACACUGAACUGACGUCUGUUACACCCAGACUACCCCGAA